CUGCUCUAGUCACACAACUGGAAACUGACUAGUCUACGCAUGGCCAAAGCUUGAGGAGUCAUCAUCAAAUGAGUAGAUGUACAUCUAGUUCUUCUAUUUGUCUACCUAUAGGUGCACUCAUAACAUUUUAAUUUAUUUCAUGUGUUGUCAUCGUUAUCCUCUGUAUUACUCUGAGAAAGAAGAUGUUACCUGUUUGUGAAAAAGAGGGUCACAGAGUAUGUGUGAACCAAUACUUCAUUUGAGACAGCCUCACAUGGAGAAUGCAAUGAGCCAUUCUCUUCUCACAUACAGGUAAAUUGGAAGUUGAAUAUGACAUUUACUGCAGUUUGAUCACUAAGCAUAAGACCUUUCUUUAAAAAAAAUUAUGUAAGCAAAUUUCUUCUUUUUCAAAGGGUUUUUAAUACAAUGUUUAUGCUUCA
ensembl:lncRNA novel transcript